GACCAGACUGAAAUAUUCGGUGUCUAUCAGUUCCUGGUUAUCCUGUUAGAUAGCUGCGGUACUUUCCAAGAUUAUCAAACAUGAGACUACUAAAAAAAACUAAAUAAAAUCAGCAAAAAGUAUGCAUUACUUAGACUCCUAGGCAUCCUAAUUUCUCCAACAUGUGUCCAUAAUUUAACACAGAUGCGAUUUUCUUUAAUAAACAAACAAGUCUACGGGGUGAAAAACUUGCAACCUGUGAUAUCUAGUAUCCAGGAAAACUUAAGUUUAGUUUAACGUUACAUACCCAAAAUCUGAACAACCGCACUUAUGUCCUGCUGAGAAAUGUCUGCAUUUGAGUAACCAGAUCCCUAAACGGGCGACACCUGUUGCCAAGGCGCAAUCCCCAGCCCCGCCGCCCGUGGUUCCUGACCUUCCGGUGGUUCCUGACCUUCCGGUGGUUCCUGACCUUCCGGUGGUUCCUGACCUUCCAGCGCCGAGCCCCGUUGUUCCUGACCUUCUGGCAGUUUAUGCACUGCCCCCCGAGGUUCCAGUUCCUGUACCCCCAGAUCCCAUCCCCGAGGACGUCCCUGAUCCCCCCAGACCCAGCUCCCGUGCCCCCGGUCCCCGUCCCCGUCCCCGAGGAGGUCCCCAACUGUCAGACCAUCACUUGUCCUCCCUUUGUGGAGAUGGAGGUGCUCGAAUGGUACCCCUGAAGGGGGGCUAGGUUGCGUGCUAAACUUUGUCACACUGAGAAAGGGGAAAAAACUGGAACACAGGCAGGAAGAGAAGGGGGGCUCCAGCCCUCCUCGUAGUGUAAGUCAAUUCCGGAAAGCAGAAGGUACAUUGACAGGGUCGUGGUGACAUUAAGCUUACGCUUGACCUGCGGGGACAUAACAAGGGAGGGGGUCGCUGACGCUGCUAAAUUGCAACAUAACAAGAUAAGAUAAAAGGGAACGGGUGUGGGGACUAACGCCAGCAAUGGAAAGAUACCAACAAGAACAGUAGACGCCCUAAACGGGGUAUAAAAGCUAGACACAGACAACAGGGAGCUGAGCUUCCCUUGGUGUGUACUUUUGUGCAUCUGAGAGUGGCUCCCGGAUCGAUCUGUACAACAAAUAAAGAGAGCUGACUUACAACCAU